rnacentral:rRNA from 1 species
AUUGAACGCUGGCGGCAGGCCUAACACAUGCAAGUCGAGCGGCAGCGGGGAGUAGCUUGCUACUUUGCCGGCGAACGGCGGACGGGUGAGUAACGCGUGGGAAUCUACCCAUUUGUGGGGGAUAACUUGGGGAAACCCAAGCUAAUACCGCAUAAUCCCUACGGGGGAAAGCAGGGGACCUUUUGGCCUUGCGCAGAUGGAUGAGCCCGCGUCGGAUUAGCUAGUUGGUAGGGUAAAGGCCUACCAAGGCGACGAUCCGUAACUGGUCUGAGAGGAUGACCAGUCACAUCGGGACUGAGACACGGCCCGAACUCCUACGGGAGGCAGCAGUGGGGAAUCUUGGACAAUGGGGGCAACCCUGAUCCAGCCAUGCCGCGUGUGUGAAGAAGGCCCUAGGGUUGUAAAGCACUUUCAGUAGGGAGGAAGGCUUCGGGUUAAUACCCUGGAGUACUUGACGUUACCUACAGAAGAAGCACCGGCUAAUUUCGUGCCAGCAGCCGCGGUAAUACGAAAGGUGCGAGCGUUAAUCGGAAUUACUGGGCGUAAAGGAUGCGUAGGCGGAUUAAUAAGUUGGGAGUGAAAUCCUAUGGCUCAACCAUA